rnacentral:rRNA from 1 species
AGUGAAUAGAUACCCAGGUAGUCCACGCCCUAAACGAUGUCUGCUAGUUGUUGGUGGAGUAAAAAAUCCAUGAGUAAACGCAGCUAACGCGUGAAGUAGACCGCCUGGGGAGUACGGUCGCAAGAUUAAAACUCAAAGGAAUUGACGGGGGCCCGCACAAGCGGUGGAUUAUGUGGAUUAAUUCGAUGCAACGCGAAAACCUUACCUGGCCUUGACAUGCCACUAACGAAGCAGAGAUGCAUUAGGUGCCCGUAAGGGAAAGUGGACACAGGUGCUGCAUGGCUGUCGUCAGCCCGUGUCGUGAGAUGUUGGGUUAAGUCCCGCAACGAGCGCAACCCUUGCCAUUAAUUGCCAUCAUUUAGUUGGGCACUUUAAUGGGACUGCCGGUGACAAACCGGAGGAAGGUGGGGAUGACGUCAAGUCCUCAUGGCCCUUAUGGCCAGGGCUUCACACGUAAUACAAUGGUCGGUACAGAGAGUUGCCAACCCGCGAGGGGAGCUAAUCUCAGAAAGCCGAUCGUAGUCCGGAUUGUUCUCU